rnacentral:rRNA from 1 species
CUUGAGCAGGCUGUUUGCUGGCCCCUUGGGGGGUAUGUGCACGCUUGCCAUCUUUAUCUCUCCAACUGUGCACAUCUUGUAGACCUGGAGCGUUUGUUGAAUCUUGUUCGAGUUGGGACUGCCGUGCUGCUUUGUUUGAAAGAAGCUGGCUUUGCCCUUGCAUCAGGUCUAUGUCAUUUCUACAAACCUUACAAACAGAAUGUUGAAUCAGGUAUACAUACAUACCUAUAAAGUUGAAAUAUACAACUUUCAGCAACGGAUCUCUUGGCUCUCGCAUCGAUGAAGAACGCAGCGAAAUGCGAUAAGUAAUGUGAAUUGCAGAAUUCAGUGAAUCAUCGAAUCUUUGAACGCAUCUUGCGCUCCUUGGUAUUCCGAGGAGCAUGCCUGUUUGAGUGUCAUUCAAAUUCUCAAACCGCAUCGACUAUGUUGGUGUGGCUUGGAGAUGGGGGAAGAAAAACUUUGUUUUUGUUUGCAGGCUCCUAUGGAGUCUGCUCCCCUGAAAUGCAUUAGUGGUAUCUGAGCAGAAGAGACUACUACAGGUGUGAUAAAUAUCUAUGCCUUGGUGUUCGCUGCAUGAACAGAUUGUGCUGCUUCUUAACAAGCGAAGGAAACUUUGCAUUUUUAUUAUUAUGAAUUUGACCUCAAAUCAGGUAGGACUACCCGCUGAACUUAAGCAUAUCAUA